UCUUCUGCUCCUGAUAAGCCCCACCCCCCACAGGUCCACACACACCAUAAACACAACCCUGGUCUGUGCAUACUUCCCAACACCCUGGAGUGUACCCCGAUACCCCACUGCAGAGACCCCCACCUCUCCACCAAUGCCACACCUGGUCCUCACACAGGUGGUGCCCCAAAGAGGUGAACACACCCUCCUGCCUGUAGAGGAUCAAGGCACCCAAUCAAUGCAGGCCGACAAGUAGCCUGAGGGUUUGCUGUUGGGUAGGGCUGGUCCCUAGGGUGUGCUGCCUACCCUGGCUGAACUAGAUUAAAUCUGCACUUCAGUGGGUGUGGCAGACCCUUGGGCUAACAGGCCAGGGGAAGAACUUCAAUGGUGUCUGCCAGGGUCUGUGUCAGCAUGCCUGGACUAAGUGACAACAAUGGCCACCACCAAUGUCUCAGUCUCCAGAGAGGUCUCACAUCACAAUGAGAUGCACUCAGAGCCCACCAGUUAACUAUCUGAUCAAGAUUUCAUGGCCAUAAUGCAAGAUUCCUGUUGCAUCAAAAGUUAGAAAACUGCAGCUCAAGACACUCCUCAUCAUGAUGGAGCUAUUAACUUUGAGUCAGGAGGACUGCAUGAUUCUGAGAAGAUCGUUAUUACAGCUUCAUUAACAAACGGAGUAUUUCAAGCAUGUUGUAGUAUGAAGUUCUUUCUGGCCAAGAGAUAUAUAAAUUCUGAGCCAAGGACCUGGAGAAGCAGGAAAUCUGAGCUAUCCAUCCUUGGAGUGUGAAAAAGGACAGCAGAGAUGGUCUUAGAGCAAACAGACCACCCAGAAUAUGUCUGUGGUUUCUCAGUGAGUCUGAACCGUGACGCUACUGUCGCUGUCUUCAUAUUGGCAAGGAGAGGACGUAGGGAUUAUGCAAACAGCCUUUUCUACCUGUGUUUUUUGGUUUCCCUGAAGGUCUCCCUCAGGAAACUUGGGGAUAAAAAGGCAGCCCAUUUUCAAAUGAAGGAUGCAAAAUUUUGGUGUGGAUCAUUGGCCACCAGCGUGAGCAAUGGAUAAUUUAUUUAUUCUGCUUUGCAUUGUGUCUUGUGAGAUGAUUCAAAUUCAGUAUGUGAAUCCAUAAUUGCCUGGGUGUUAAUGAUGUUGCACAGGAAGGGUUAUGCUGCUACCCAAGCUAAAGAGCUAUUUUAAGUUUGGGCCCCAAUUAAGAAGAGGCUUUUCCUGUUAAUGUGGCUGAUAACCUCCCUCACAUUGUCAAAGCGCGUUAAUAUUCACUAAAUACAUUUUGUAUGUGUUCAUACAGUAAAUGUAUACGUAUACAGAGAGAGAGAGAAAGAGAGAAUAUAAGAAUAGUAUAUUACAGUUCAUUCUCAUUGCAGAAAGGAUUCAUUUAUUCUUAAAUCAUUUUGUCCUCAUGAGGUUUAAGUAAAAAUAAACUCUUCAAAUACAUUAAGUAUGCCUGCCUAGACUUAGUGAGUCACUAAACUUUUUAAGUUGUCUUCUCUUCUCAAAUCUUCUACGCCAUCUCUCCUGUCAAAGCAUAUGUCUCAUAUGCUUGAGAAAAUAGAAGCAGUGGAAGAUGAACUUGCUCACUUUCCUAC
ensembl:lncRNA